CGAAGGGGGCUAGCGUUGCUCGGAUUUACUGGGCGUAAAGGGCGCGUAGGCGGAUGACCAAGUUGGGGGUGAAAGCCCGGGGCUCAACCUCGGAAUUGCCCUCAAAACUGGUCGUCUUGAGUAUGGGAGAGGUGUGUGGAACUCCGAGUGUAGAGGUGAAAUUCGUAGAUAUUCGGAAGAACACCAGUGGCGAAGGCGACACACUGGCCCAUUACUGACGCUGAGGCGCGAAAGCGUGGGGAGCAAACAGGAUUAGAUACCCUGGUAGUCCACGCCGUAAACGAUGAGUGCUAGUUGUCGGCAUGCAUGCAUGUCGGUGACGCAGCUAACGCAUUAAGCACUCCGCCUGGGGAGUACGGUCGCAAGAUUA
rnacentral:rRNA from 1 species